rnacentral:rRNA from 1 species
UACAGAGGGUGCGAGCGUUAAUCGGAAUUACUGGGCGUAAAGCGCACGUAGGCGGCUUGGUAUGUCGGGUGUGAAAUCCCCGGGCUCAACCUGGGAACUGCAUCCGAAACUGCCUUGCUGGAGUAUGGGAGAGGCAAGCGGAAUUCCAGGUGUAGCGGUGAAAUGCGUAGAUAUCUGGAGGAACACCCGUGGUGCAGACGGCUUGCUGGACCAUGACUGACGCUGAGGCACGAAAGCGUGGGUAGCAAACAGG